rnacentral:tRNA from 1 species
GCCGGGGUGGCGGAGCGGAUAACGCGCAGGCCUUGAGAGCCUGUGGCCUCUCUGCAGGCCGCGUGGGUUCAAAUCCCACCCCCGGCG